rnacentral:rRNA from 1 species
UGGGGAAUAUUGGACAAUGGGCGAAAGCCUGAUCCAGCAAUGCCGCGUGAGUGAUGAAGGCCCUAGGGUUGUAAAGCUCUUUUGCCCGGGAAGAUAAUGACUGUACCGGGAGAAUAAGCCCCGGCUAACUCCGUGCCAGCAGCCGCGGUAAUACGGAGGGGGCUAGCGUUGUUCGGAAUUACUGGGCGUAAAGCGCGCGUAGGCGGCUUUGUAAGUUAGAGGUGAAAGCCCGGGGCUCAACCCCGGAAAUGCCUUUAAGACUGCAUCGCUUGAAUCCAGGAGAGGUGAGUGGAAUUCCGAGUGUAGAGGUGAAAUUCGUAGAUAUUCGGAAGAACACCAGUGGCGAAGGCGGCUCACUGGCCUGGUAUUGACGCUGAGGUGCGAAAGCGUGGGGAGCAAACA